GUCGUAUGUUGCAUUUCAUCAAUACAGCUACACUACAGUUUAUAAUAAAUAUGAUGACAACUUAAGUAUUAAAAGCUUGUUGAAAUAGAUGUCCAUCACUAUCUAUUUUUCUACUUUUAUUAAAAGUUUUUAUGUUGCAAAGACACAACAAAAUAUCUACCCUAGUAUUCUCAAAUUGUAAUCCAAAUAUUAGUAUGGAGUCCUGGAAGACUGAAACGUUGCAGCUAAAAAAUAAAGAAAUAGCCUAGAUUUCAAAUAUUAAUGAAGUGAACAAUGCAGUUCAGGAGUCAUGUUGUUGACAUCAAACACCAGAACAACAUUUCUUCACACCUGCUACUGUCUGAGUAAGUGAGAGUGGGCUCUGACCUUUGACCUGUGUGGAGAGCACACGCCUUUCUAGUUCAGAUAAGCUAUGAUCCAGACCACAGUAAUGAGGAAGAGGGUCAUCAGCUGUGUGAGGUGAUCUAUGUGUCACACUGGGAUACCUGCUGUCUUUAUAAAGUGCCAGAAAUAAUCAGUCUUUGCAGUUUAGUCCACUCCCAGUGUAUCUUCAAGGUGCUGCUUCAAGGUGUAGAGGGAUUUCUUUGUGGCUUCAUCAAUAUUGCACUGCAUGUGCUUCAGACAAGCAAGUACAGCACUUCAUUGGACACGUAUCAAGGUUUCCCAAGAUGAGGAUGAGCCUACACAUGUGGUGUAUGUUGGUCCUGUUUCUCUGUUCGAGCAGUAAAGAGAUGGUUGUGGAUAAAACCAGACCGGCAAGAUUGCAUUCACAUCUGAUGGAAAAACGACAAAACAUUAUCCAAAACCUCAAAAGGCAUUCAGAUGGGACAUUCACCAGUGACUUCACCCACUAUCUUGAUAAGAUUAAGGCUAAAGAUUUUGUGGAGUGGCUGGCCAGCACCAAACGAGAAGGAUGUCAUGAAGACCUGCUCCACAUUGCAGCAGAAAUUUAAGACCAUAUUACAUGUACUGUACGCUUGAUACUGCUUUACAUCAUCCAGCAGCAUAAGAGAAGAUGAAAUAACAUACAAAACAUUGGUCAUUUUAUUAUUCUGAGGUAUUCUCAAAUAAACAUAAACAUUUUGCACUUUGCUGUUUCCAUAAUAAGCAACAAAGUAAAGAAAAAUAAUCAAGAUGUUCAACUUCUUGUCUCAUCUUACUUGUUAUUUGAAAUUUCAGAAUUAUUUCCAUCUACAGGCUUACUGUUAUUUCACUUUACAAGAAAAUGCAUAGUCAUGUUCAGAUAAUCACGUCUUACAGAGAAUGCAGGCUUGAUUUUUUCUGUGUCUUAUUUAGAUUUUUUUCUGCAGUAUGAAUAAACUAAUAAUGCAAGAUGAAAUAACUUCAGAUAAUCAAUUUAGGGUCUUUUCUGAAUGCAUUGUGAGUUCACCUCAGGUGUGAUGUUGUGAUGCACACAAAUGUAUUUUCAAAUUAUUUCAGAUUUUGGAAUAAAAUCUCAUAAAGCGGCAAUAUUUUUGGAUUGGCGUUGGAGAUUGAUGAUAGGUACUGUCAAUGCUAACCAAAGGAAAUGAAUAGGUGAGGCAGUAUUUAGUGAUCUGUUUUUUUAAAAAGGGACACAUUUCAUACGUACAUGGGGCUGACCAGAGGUGGGUGCUGUUGUUCAGCAAAUCAGAAAAAUCAGGCAGCCAAACAGCUCAGGCUCAACCCAGGCUGAUUUGGGGGAGAAAAAAAAUAAAAAACAAAGGCAGUGUGUGGGUGUAAAGGCAUCUGUUUUGUUUCCUUGUGUAGACUGCAUAUAGCAGGCACUUUGUUCACACAAAUUUACAUUGUUGCACAAGAAGGUUAUGCAAUGAGGCAGGCAGAAAAUACACAAAGUAAUGGAGUUAACAUUUAGUGGAAAGGAGGGGCUGGUGGAUGUUAGAUAGGUGGAUAGAAACUGUAGGCUGUAAC